rnacentral:rRNA from 1 species
GACGAACGCUGGCGGCGUGCCUAAUACAUGCAAGUAGAACGCACAGUUUAUACCGUAGCUUGCUACACCAUAGACUGUGAGUUGCGAACGGGUGAGUAACGCGUAGGUAACCUGCCUGGUAGCGGGGGAUAACUAUUGGAAACGAUAGCUAAUACCGCAUAAUAUUGAUUAUUGCAUGAUAAUUGAUUGAAAGAUGCUAUUGCAUCACUACCAGAUGGACCUGCGUUGUAUUAGCUAGUAGGUGAGGUAACGGCGCACCUAGGCGACGAUACAUAGCCGACCUGAGAGGGUGAUCGGCCACACUGGGACUGAGACACGGCCCAGACUCCUACGGGAGGCAGCAGUAGGGAAACUUCGGCAAUGGACGAAAGUCUGACCGAGCAACGCCGCGUGAGUGAAGAAGGUUUUCGGAUCGUAAAGCUCUGUUGUAAGAGAAGAACGGGUGUGAGAGUGGAAAGUUCACACUGUGACGGUAUCUUACCAGAAAGGGACGGCUAACUACGUG